CAACAAGGUGCUUCUGAGAUGCUUCUGACUCGCACCGCGACGCCUGGUGUGGACCAAACCAUUGACGGCGCACACUCACCCGGUGGAAAUUAGGGGUUGGCCUUAACCGACCUGACGCAGACGCCAUGUGCUCCUUAAUGAUGUAGCCGAGCCGUUUCUGGAUGCGUGUUCGGCGGGAAAAGUCUGGCUCAGCUGUCUCCAGGGCUGCUCAUCAGCGCUGGACGUCGUAGAACCGCUUCCUUGUAAGACCCUGGUCGCAGAGUGAAAACAUGGAUGCCAACAGCAGAGGGCUGAGCCGUUAACCAGCUGCAAGCAUUAGCUUCUCUGCUUGCCUGCUACUUCUGCUUCUAUCUCCAGGACCAGGCGGACUCAGCCAGCAACAUGCUGGAGUUUGUUCAGAGGUUAAUUAUGGGAAUUAACCCUGAUAGCAGCAAAUAACAAAGUUUGGAAAGAGGGUCCCAAGAAAAUCUCAGAUUGCACUGACUCUGGCAAAGUGUUUGGUCCUGUUGCAAAGCAGGAACACAAACGAAAACAGGUAGCUUGUUAACAGCUUAGUUCUCCAGAAAACAUAUUUAAAUAUUUUGGCAUUACUGUAGAGACACAUGGAAGUCCUGCGUGCAGC